rnacentral:rRNA from 1 species
AUUAAUAAUUAAUAUAUUUAAUAAAAAUAAUUUUAAUUUAAUAAGUAUUUUAAUGGGGGUUAAAGUAUUUUUUAAAGAAAAAAUUUUUAAAUUUAUAGUUAAUUAGUAUUGUGAAAGAAUUUUGAAAUAUUAUGAAAAAUAAAAUUUUUAGAAAGUAAUUUUUAUUUAUUGUAUCUUGUGUAUCAGAGUUUAUUAAAAAUUUUUAAUUUAUGAAUUAAUUUCUCGAAUUUAAAAGAGUUAAAUAAUUAUUAAAGUUAUUGUAGCAAAAUUAUUUUAAAUAAUUAUUUAGAAAUGAAAUGUUAAUCGUUUUUAAAUAUAUCUAGUUUUUAUAGAAAAAAAUUUAAUUUUAAAUUUAAAAAUUAUUUAAUUAAUUUAUUAAUUAAAUAGUUACUUAAAUUUUAUAAUUUAAGGGAUAAGCUUUAAAUUAAAUUUUUAUAAUAUUAAAUUUUUAUUUUGAAAAUUUUAUAAUUUAUAUUGUUAAUAAAUUUUAUUUUGUUAUAAAUAAUUUCAUUUUUUUUAAAAUUUAAAUUUUAUUUAAUUUUUUAUAUAAAAUUUAUUUAUAAUUAUAUAAAGUUAAUUAUAAUGAUAAAAUUAGUAUAUUAUUUAAUAUUAAAUUAAAAUUAAUUUUUGAUUAAUAAUUAAAUUAAUUAAAAGGAAUUCGGCAAAUAUUUAUUUUCACUUGUUUAUCAAAAACAUGUCUUUUUGUUAUUUAAUUUAAAGUCUAAUCUGCCCACUGAUUUAUAAAAAUUGAAGGGCUGCAGUAUAUUGACUGUACAAAGGUAGCAUAAUCAUUAGUCUCUUAAUUGGUGACUUGUAUGAAAGAUUGGAUGAAAAAUAUACUGUCUCUUAAUUAAUAUAUAGAAUUUAAUUUUUUAUUUAAAAAGUUAAAAUAACUUAAAAAGACGAGAAGACCCUAUAGAGUUUAAUAAAUUAUUUUAUGAAAGUUUUAUUUAUAUUUAUUAAUAAUUUUAUAAAUUUAUUUAUUUAGUUGGGGGGAUAAAAAAAUAAAUUUAACUUUUUUUAAGUAAUUUACCUGGAUAAGGGAUUAAU